rnacentral:tRNA from 1 species
UGUCUUGAUAGUUUAAUAAAAACUUUGGUCUUGUAAACCAAGAAUGAAAUCUUUUUCUCAGGAUAUC